rnacentral:tRNA from 1 species
GCCUUCGUGGUGUAGUGGUCAGCACGCUGGGCGCGUAUUCUAGAGGUCCGUGGUUCGAGUCCCGGCGAAGGAG